AGGAUUAUAUUUAAUUAUAAUACUUGAUUUGCAAUCAAGAGGUACAAAAUGUUGAUCUUA
rnacentral:tRNA from 1 species